GACGAACGCUGGCGGCGUGCCUAAUACAUGCAAGUAGUACGCAGUUGCGAACGGGUGAGUAACGCGUAGGUAACUGCCUAUUAGAGGGGGAUAACUAUUGGAAACGAUAGCUAAUACCGCAUACUAGUAGAUGGACCUGCGUUGUAUUAGCUAGUAGGUAGGGUACUGGCCUACCUAGGCGACGAUAAAUAGCCUGAAUGGGAGGGUGGUCGGCAACUGUGGGACCGAGACACGGCCCAGACUCCGACGGGAGGCAGCAGUAGGGACAAUUCGUCAAUGGGGCGAACCCUGACCAAGCAAAGCCGCGAGAGUGAAGAAGGUCUUCGGAUCGUAUAGCUCUGUGGCUAAGAAAGCGGUAAUUAACCAGAAAUGGACGGCUAACUAUGUGCCAGCAGCCGCGGUAAUUC
rnacentral:rRNA from 1 species